rnacentral:lncRNA from 1 species
UGAGACAAAAGAUAUUCAAGGAUAUGAUAAAGAGCAUAUUUAUUGACCAAAAUGGCAUAUCUUUCUUAGUCUUCCUUCCCCCAAUGGAAAAAAAAAACUAAAAGAAGCAUGCCAAUGUACAAGUUACAUAAUAAUUUAUGCAUUAUUCCUUGAACAUGACUUUACUCAGUUAUCCCCUGUGGUGAACGCUUCUUCUUGUUCCUUGGGGUUAAUUCUAUUGACAGUUGCACCCACAUCAUCGGCCACUUCAGUUUUUUCGACAUCUUUCGGAGUUCCUGGAGCCGAGCCAUAUGCUUCUUCCCUUUCCGAGCCAUAUGCUUCUUCCCUGUCCUGUGUGUCUCCAUUGAUUUCUCAGACAAAGACCCUACAAUAAUAAUGCGAUAAAAUUCAGAUAACAAAAAAGGUCUUUUAACUUUUCAGUCAUGUUAUAUCAC